rnacentral:sRNA from 1 species
UGAUUGAAUACGAUUUAGUUUUGUAAGU